ACGUAACAUGGAAGCGACAAAUAGUCCACAGAAAGUGACAUCGGCGAUACAGUGCAGAAAAGUUAACGAUAUACAUACGUUUUGCCUUUCUUUUGUUAGAAAAAAAGGAGAGGCACGGCCUCGUCUUAGUCGUCUCCCAUGAUUAUCCGCUGCAGACAUCUACUUCAAAAAACCCUUCAACUUGGUGAUAAUUUCAUCUUGUGAGGAGGAUGAGUUUUCAAUUUCACCGAGAGUUUCCAAAACACGACCACCACUUGCACUGUUGAUCUUGUUCAAAAUAGCAAGUUUCUCGCUGGUGCUACCAGGAAACAUAUCGCUGAUUUUCUUCAUGGUCUGAGCCUGUUUCACUUGCUUUUCUGCACCCAAAGCAGAGCUCAAAAAGUCAUUAGACUUUUCGCCUCCCUCCUUGUUGCUACCACCACUCAAGUUGUUCAUAAAGUUCUGCAUAACGGAAGUUGGAAUUAAGGGCAGAUAGAUUCAAAGUUUAGUAAGUUAUCAGUCUUGCAACGUUGUAGAAGAUGAUAUCCUGAGCUAGACACCCAUAUAUAUAUAUAUAUGUGUAUCUACAAUACUCUUGUUACUCCCCAAACACCAAUUCGUCAAAAGUAGCCGAUGAUUUCAGUAUGAAGUGAUUUAUGGGUAACCCAUCUC